CGUUUCCGCUGUUGGGAGACUAGGGUUGGGGGCGACGGAAGCAGAGCGGGCCGAAGCGGCUGGAGCCGGUCCGGGAGAGAAUAGCGGUCCCGGCUCCGAGGGCGCCCGGGGUCCCGGGCCGGAGGGGCGGCGCGCGCCCGCGUUCCCGCAGCGGGGCUGGGACUCGGGCCUGGCUGGGCGGGGCCGGGCAGGAGGGGCCCCGGGACGGCCGCAGUGGGACCUGGGCGGGGAGCUAAUUUGGGGUGGGGGCGCGUCCCAGGCAGUGAGUCGGCCCCGGACAGCCGUCGGACCCCGGGGGCGGGCUCCUCCCGGGCGGGGUCCUGUGCUGGGCGGUGGGCUCGUCCCCGGCGUGGGGCCCUCCCGGGCGGUGGGCACGGCCCUCUGGAGGGAGCGCGGCAGCUGCGGCGUGGGCGCUGGAACUUGCUGGAAGACCCUGCGCGGCAGUGCUGUGCUCUCCAGAGGGGACGGUGAGCGGGGGACGUCGCCGAGGAGCAGCGAGAAAUAAAAUGGAUAUCAAUCCAGUACCUUUUUUGUCUCUGUCCUGGCCGAGGAGACCACGCAGACCCUUAUCCGGAAAUAGCAUUCGGGGCGUUUGACCAAGACACACUAAUAAACUUGAGUUUUGUCAAUUUUC